rnacentral:misc_RNA from 1 species
GAAGAGUUAAACCAUGGCAGCACCAGAUCAUUUGUUCAAUCUGAGAAAUAAUUUCUAUUUGGGAGCGUAUCAGGCAGCCAUUAACAACAGCGAUCUCCCCAAUCUCUCCCCCGAUGACGCAAUCGAGAGGGAUUCCAUUGUUUUCCGCUCUUACAUUGCCCUUGGCAGUUAUCAGCUAGCGAUCAGCGAGAUCGACUCUUCCGCCCCGACACCUCUUCAAGCCGUCAAAUUGCUCGCUCUGUAUCUGUCCGAUCCCAGUAGCAAGGAAUCUACCAUUGCAAGUCUACAGGAAUGGUUAUCAGAUCCAGCCAUUGGAAACAAUCCUACUUUGAGGCUAGUUGCAGGAAUCAUAUUCAUGCAUGAGCAAGAUUACAAUGAAGCCCUGAAACACACAAAUGCUGGAGGAACCAUGGAGUUGCAUGCACUGAAUGUUCAAAUAUUUCUUAAGAUGCACAGGUCAGAUUAU